GGACAGAGGGCUUCUUGGUAUGUGCCUAGGUGAAAAGAGAAGAUUAAAGAUACCUGCAGAUCUUGGUUAUGGGAAACGUGGAGCUCCUCCUAAAAUUCCUGGUGGAGCAACGCUAAUCUUCGAUGCCGAGCUUGUAUCUAUCAAUGGCAAAACUGUGGAUGAGCAGUGAACAACCAAAAGGAAGUUGAUGGCAAAACUCUUGUUCAGUGCUUCCAGCAGGUGACUUUGUUGAGUUCUGUCAGUUGUUAACAUUUACAUUUGUAGGUUUUGAUUGUUUGUCAGAGCUAUGAAAUAAGGAGGACGUGGUUUAACUUUGUAAAUGUUUUGGGAGAAUUGGGCCUCUUUGGUUCCAUGGGAACAUAAAUUCUUUAACAUUUUUUUUAAAAUUUGUUCUGAAAUAUAUAUCUUUCAUGUUGUGAUUUCUAACAA